GAGCAGACUAACAGGAUUCCCCUAGUAACUGCGAGUGAAGCGGGAAAAGCUCAAAUUUAAAAUCUGGUGGUCUUUGGCCAUCCGAGUUGUAAUUUAGAGAAGCGUCUUCCGCGCUGGACCGUGCACAAGUCUCCUGGAAUGGAGCGUCAUAGAGGGUGAGAAUCCCGUCUUUGGCACGGACACACCAGGGCUUUUGUGAUGCGCUCUCGAAGAGUCGAGUUGUUUGGGAAUGCAGCUCAAAAUGGGUGGUGAACUCCAUCUAAAGCUAAAUAUUGGCGAGAGACCGAUAGCGAACAAGUACCGUGAGGGAAAGAUGAAAAGCACUUUGGAAAGAGAGUGAAACAGUACGUGAAAUUGUUGAAAGGGAAACGCUUGAAGUCAGUCGCGUCGACCGAGACUCAGCCUUGCCUCGGCUCGGUGUACUUCUCGGCCGACGGGUCAGCAUCAAUUUUGCCCCUUGGAUAAUGGCGAGGGAAAUGUGACACCUUUACGGUGUGUUAUAGUCUCUUGUCGCAUGCAAGGGUUGGGAUUGAGGAACUCAGCACGCGCCUUUGGGUGUCGGGGUUUUGCCCACGAUACGUGCUUAGGAUGUUGGCGUAAUGGCUUUAAACGACCCGUCUUGAAACACGGACCAAGGAGUCUAACAUGCCUGCGAGUGUUCGGGUGGAAAACCCGUGCGCGCAAUGAAAGUGAAAGUUGGGACCUCUGUCGUGGAGGGCACCGACGCCCGGACCAGACCUUCUGUGACGGCUCUGCGGUAGAGCAUGUAUGUUAGGACCCGAAAGAUGGUGAACUAUGCCUGAAUAGGGUGAAGCCAGAGGAAACUCUGGUGGAGGCUCGUAGCGAUUCUGACGUGCAAAUCGAUCGUCAAAUUUGGGUAUAGGGGCGAAAGACUAAUCGAACCAUCUAGUAGCUGGUCCUGCGGGA
rnacentral:rRNA from 1 species